rnacentral:rRNA from 1 species
GACGUAGGGGGCCAGCGUUGUUCGGAAUUACUGGGUGUAAAGGGUUCGUAGGCGGUGCGGCAAGUUGGGAGUGAAAUCUCUGGGCUUAACCCAGAGGCUGCUUCCAAAACUGCUGUGCUUGAGUGUGGGAGAGGCGCGUGGAAUUGCAGGUGUAGCGGUGAAAUGCGUAGAUAUCUGCAGGAACACCCGUGGCGAAGGCGGCUCACUGGCCCGAUACUGACGCUGAGGCACGAAAGCGUGGGGAGCAAACAGG